rnacentral:rRNA from 1 species
CGGCGGAGCAUGUUGCUUAAUUCGACGCAACGCGAAGAACCUUACCAAGGCUUGACAUUGCCCGUAGACCUGCAGAGAUGGGGCCGCGGUACAGGUGUGACGAGCGCAACCCUCGUUCCAUGUUGCCAGCGGGAUGUCAAGUAUCAUGCCCCUUAUGUCUUGGCUGCAUACAUGGCCGGUACAAGGGCUGCGAUGCCGUGAGGUGGAGCGUCCCUAAAAGCCGGUCUCAGUUCGGAUCGAAGUGCAACUCGACUUCGUGAAGUCGGAGUCGCUAGUAAUCGAGAUCAGCAACGCUGCGGUGAAUACGUUCCCGGGCCUUGUACACACCGCCGUCACGUCACGAAAGUCGGCAACACCCGAAGCCCGCGGCCCAACCCGUAAGGGGGGGAGUGGUCGAAGUGGGGCCGGCGAUUGGGACGAAGUCGUACAAGGU